GUCCGUCCCCGGGAUAUAAGCUAACUUUGUACCUCUGUUAAACUGAUGGGCCGUGAAAAGGUAGCAGACAGACAGACACACUUUCGCAUUUAUAAUAUUAGUAUGAAUUAGGCAGUUGCCACUGCCUAAUUCAUUCAUGGCCGGUCUACUACCGAGCACGAGUCUUCUCAGAACGAAAAUAGUUUGGCCUUAUGGCCACCACACUGGCUAAGUGUGGAUUGGUCGACUUCAGACACCUUUGAGAACAUUAUGAACUCUAAGGCAUGGAGUUUUCCUCAUGACAUCUUCCCCCAUCAUCUAGUGUGACAUAAAUGUAGUUAAACAGUAAAUAAAAGCUGUAUUCCAUUACACAUAGAUUUAUUACACUUAUUAAAAUCUAAGGGUACGUAAAAAAUGGCAGAUUGUCUUACCGACAGUGAUGAUUGGCAAAAUACGUUAGGUACUUUAAAAUUAUGCACUAUAAUACUAGGACUAAAGAGACUAAGGUGGCUUCACACUUACAGACUAUAUUAUUAUUAUGUGACUGAAAUAUUUAUCUAUUAUUACAUUUAAGUGCUGUAAAGUGCAAGUUGUAUGACAGUUUUUAUCUGUAAGUGUGAUACUACCUUAAUGUUGAACAGGUUUCAGUAGAUAAUUCGCAUAUAUCUAGACUUAUGUGGUUAGUAACAACACCCGAAACAUUUUAAGUAUGUCACUGGCUUAAACAACUACGAACUUGAAAUUAUCUAUUGAAAUCUGUCCACUGAAUACUAUUUACUAGUAAUUGAAGCAAUAUUUUUUAAACCCCCUAAACGAAACUAUGAACUAAAGUGGAAUUAGUUUAAGCAGUAAAGUAGUAUUUUUUUUUUUUAAAUCAAAUCUAAUUAAUUUGAUUUUACGACAAUACAAAAGGAAUUUAUAGUGCAUACAUUUUGAGAACGCUCACGCCAUAUUUGCUCUGUGUCAACUCACAAUUGUCAAUACUUUUUAACCAUACUUUUGACAUGACUGUGGACACAUUCAGCAAAUAUGGCAAAAAAUAUGUGCUUUCUAAAAAUGUAUGCAUUACUAGCUGAUGCCCGCGACUUUGUUCGCGUGGAUGUAGGUUUUUAAAAAUCCCGAGGGAGCUCUUUAAUUUUCUGGGAUAAAGAGUAGCCAUGUGCAAAUCCAGGGUUUAAUCUAUCUCAGCUAUAAAUUUCAGCCCAAUCCAUUCAGUAGUUUUUGCGUGAAGGAGUAACAAACAUACACACAAAUUUUCCCCUUUAUAAUAUUAGUGUAAUAGUGUGAAGUGUGAUGUGAUAGUGUGAUUAGUGUGAUACACAGUUUCAUUUAGGGAGGUCCUAAAGAAUAACCCUGCUUGUCAGUGCACUGUCAAUGAGAUCAUACUAUAUUUUUUAUUCAAUAAAGUGUAAGAAAAUA